UACAGAGGGUGCGAGCGUUAAUCGGAAUUACUGGGCGUAAAGCGUGCGUAGACGGUUAUGUAAGUCGGAUGUGAAAGCCCCGGGCUCAACCUGGGAAGUGCAUUGGAAACUGGGGAACUUGAAUACGGGAGAGGGUAGUGGAAUUCCUGGUGUAGGAGUGAAAUCCGUAGAUAUCAGGAGGAACACCGGUGGCGAAGGCGGCUCUCUGGACCGAUACUGACGCUGAGGCGCGAAAGCGUGGGGAGCAAACAGGG
rnacentral:rRNA from 1 species